rnacentral:snRNA from 1 species
GUAAUCACUUAUAAUGGCAUCACCAAUGCUCAGACUGGAUUAGUACAGAGAAGAUUAGCAUAGCUCCUUACGUAAUGUUGGCAUGCACAUUUCUUAAGCCAUCCAUAUUUUC